UCUCGGUUGGGGUUAAUUUGGAAAGAUUGGUUUAUUAUUGCCAUUGACAACUUGGUUUCUCUCUUUAAACAAUUAUUUGGAACUAACAAUAAGUUUACAUUCGUCUUUGAUAAAGGCAUAAAGCACAUAAGCAUUAAAGAAAUUCAUCAUACAUACAUAAAAAGGAUAUGAAAAAUGUCUUUCAUUCGUUAUGUUAUUCAGAUUCGAAUGUUAGAUAUGUUAUAUGUACAAUACAAUAAUGUAUUUUUUUCAAUUAAUU
rnacentral:lncRNA from 1 species